rnacentral:rRNA from 1 species
UUGGCUUAGAAGCAGCCAUACAUUUAAAGAGUGCGUAAUAGCUCACUAGUCGAGAAAACCUGCGCCGAAAAUGUAACGGGGCUAAAACACGACACCGAAGCUACGGAUUCCUUACAAAGUAAGGAGUGGUAGAGGAGCAUCCUGCAAGGACGAAGCCAAAGUGAGAGCGAUGGUGGACGAAACAGGAGAGAGAAUGCCGGAAUGAGUAGCGAGAUACAUGUGAGAAACAUGUAGGCCGAAUAUCUAAGGAUUCCUGGGUAAAGCUAAUCUUCCCAGGGUUAGUCGGGGCCUAAGGCGAGGACGAAAGUCGUAGUCGAUGGAUAACAGGUUGAUAUUCCUGUACUACACAUAAUCAGAACUGUGGGGACGCAGGAGGAUAGGGAAACCGGGGAAUGGAAAGACCCGGUCAAGCGUAAAGCUGUGGGAGAUAGGCAAAUCCGUCUCCUGUAAGUGAAACGUGAUGAGGACUGAAAAAAAGUAAGGAAGUUUCCGAAUCCACACUGCCGAGAAAAGCCGCUAUUGCGUUAUGUGUACCCGUACCGUAAACCGACACAGGUAGAUGAGGAGAAAAUCCACAGGCCGACGGGAGAAGUGUUGUUAAGGAACUCGGCAAAAUGACCCCGUAACUUCGGGAUAAGGGGAGCCUCGCAAGAGGCCGCAGAAAAGAGGCACAAGCAACUGUUUAGCAAAAACAUAGGUCUAUGCGAAACCGUAAGGUGAAGUAUAUGGGCUGACGCCUGCCCGGUGCUGGAAGGUUAAGAGGAGAGGUUAGCGCAAGCGAAGCUUUGAAUUCAAGCCCCAGUAAACGGCGGCCGUAACUAUAACGGUCCUAAGGUAGCGAAAUUCCUUGUCAGGUAAGUUCUGACCCGCACGAAAGGCGUAAUGAUUUGUGCACUGUCUCGACAACACGCCCGGUGAAAUUGAAGAACCAGUGAAGAUACUGGUUACCCGCAACAGGACGGAAAGACCCCAUGGAGCUUUACUGCAGCCUGAUACUGGGAUUCGAUGAUAUAUGUACAGGAUAGGUGGGAGGCUAAGAAGCGAGAACGCUAGUUUUCGUGGAGCCGCCGGUGGGAUACCACUCUUAUGUCAUUGAAUUUCUAACCUGCAUCCGUAAUCCGGGUGAGGGACAAUGUCAGGCGGGCAGUUUGACUGGGGCGGUCGCCUCCUAAAAGGUAACGGAGGCGCUCGAAGGUCACCUCAGAAUGAUUGGAAACCAUUCAAAGAGUGUAAAGGCAAAAGGUGGCUUGACUGCGACACCGACGGGUGGAGCAGGUACGAAAGUAGGACUUAGUGAUCC